GUGAAAGAGGAUCAGAAACUCACAUCUCUUCAGCUUCACCGUAAACCAUGUUCUCUGUAGCUCUGCUGCUGCUGUUGGCAGCUGGAUCCUGUGUGAAGUGUGAACAGUUGACACAGCCAGCCUCAGUGACUGUGCAGCCAGGUCAAGGUCUGACCAUCACCUGUCAGGUCUCUUAUUCUCUUGGCAGCUAUUACACACACUGGAUCAGACAGCCUGCAGGGAAAGAACUGGAGUGGAUGAGUUCUGACACAGAUGUCAAAGAUUCACUAAAGACCAAGUUCAGUGUCAACUUAGACUCUUCCAGCAACACAGUGACCCUAAAUGGAAAGAAUCUACAGCCUGAAGACACUGCUGUGUAUUACUGUGCCAGACAACCACAAUAACACAAACCAUCAGCAGACCUGAACAAAAACCUCUCAGGCAGCCACACAUCCAACAGACACUUACAGUAGAGGACAGAUGCAGCUGUGUUUCUGUCUUCUGGAGACACAAACAAGCAACACAUGUACAGUACAAAAAUCACCUG